rnacentral:rRNA from 1 species
GGAAUCUACUCUGACGUGGGGGAUAACGUAGGGAAACUUACGCUAAUACCGCAUACCACCUACGGGUGAAAGCGGGGGAUCUUCAGACCUUGCGCGAUUGAAUGACCCGAUGUCAGAUUAUCUAUUUGGCGGGGUAAAGGCCCACCAGGGCCACUAUCCGUAUCUGGUCUGAGAAGAUGAUCACCCACACUGGAACUGACACACGGUCCACACUCCUACGGGAGGCAGCAGUGGGGAAUAUUGGACAAUGGGCGCAAGCCUGAUCCACCCAUACCGCGUGGGUGAAAAAGGCCUUCGGGUUGUAAACCCCUUUUGUUGGGAAAAAAAUCCAUCUGGCUAAUACCCGGUUGGGAUGACGGUACCCAAAGAAUAAGCACCGGCUAACUUCGUGCCAGCACCCGCGGUAAUACAAAGGGUGCAAGCGUUACUCAGAAUUACUGGGCGUAAAGCGUGCGUAUGUGGUCUUUUAACUCCGUUGUGAAAGCCCUGGGCUCAACCUGGGAACUGCAGUGGAUACUGGGCGACUAGAGUGUGGUAGAGGGUAGCGGAAUUCCUGGUGUAGCAGUGAUGUGCGUAGAGAUCGAGAAGAACAUCCGUGGCGAACGCAGCUACCUGGACCAACACUGACACUGACGCACGAAAGCGUGGGGAGCAAACGAGAUUAUAUACCCUGAUACUCCACGCCCUAAACUAUGCAAACUGUAUGUUGGGUGCUAUUUGGCACGCAGUAUCGAAUCUAACGCGUUAAGUUCCCCGCCUGGAGAGUACGGUCGCAACACUGAAACUCAAGGGAAUUGACGGGGGCCCGCACAAGCGGUGGAGUAUGUGGUUUAAUUCGAUGCAACGCGAAGAACCUUACCUGGCCUUGACAUGUCGAACACUUUCCAGAGAUGGAUUGGUGCCUUCGGGAACUCGAACAC